UAACGCGAAGAACCUUACCAAGUCUUGACAUCCCGAUGACAGGUGAGUAAAGUCACCCUCUCUUCGGAGCAUCGGAGACAGGUGGUGCAUGGUUGUCGUCAGCUCGUGUCGUGAGAUGUUGGGUUAAGUCCCACAACGAGCGCAACCCCUAUCUUUAGUAGCCAGCAGGUAAAGCUGGGAACUCUAGAGAGACUGCCGGGGAUAACCGGGAGGAAGGUGGGGAUGACGUCAAAUCAUCAUGCCCCUUAUGAUUUGGGCUACACACGUGCUACAAUGGCGCAAACAAAGGGAAGCGAGCCGGUGACGGUAAGCAAAUCCCAAAAAUAACGUCUCAGUUCGGAUUGUAGUCUGCAACCCGACUACAUGAAGCUGGAAUCGCUAGUAAUCGCGGAUCAGAAUGCCGCGGUGAAUACGUUCCCGGGCCUUGUACACACCGA
rnacentral:rRNA from 1 species